AGGGCUGAAGCAAGAGAGAACCAGGCCCAUUUGGGGAGCUGCUCGUCACUACUGGAGCACAAGGGCCGGGAAGAGCAAGGCAGGCCAGGCUGGAUGAGGAAGGAGCUGGCCCCUCUGCCAAAGGCUGUGAUCCUGUGGGCACUGGGGAGUUCAUGACGGAUUUUAAACUGGGGCUGGGGAUUCUUAAGGCCCAGUUUCUGGUUAAGAAAAAUCCCGUGGUCACCAUGAAAGGGUUUAAGUGAGGUGGAGAGUGGAAACCCAGCUAGGAAGGAGAAAACAAGGGCCUGACCCAAUGCAGUGGGAGAGAGAGAGAAGGGAAGGGGCAGGGUUAGGGAGACAGGACCAAGUGCAUGUGGGCUGGGGAAGGAGGAACAGGCCGUUUGAGGAAGAGGAUGAGUCAGUUUGGACAGGCUGAAUUGGAGGUGCCUGUGGGAAAUCAGAUAGAGAAGCCCCAGGGUGGCUGAUAGAAGAGUUUAAAGAGGACUGUAUCCAGGGGCCCAUGUCUCAAGGGACAGGAGGCAGUUUAAGCCAUGAAGUCCACCAGCUGGGAGGCUUCUCUAGACUUUUAUCUUCAGGAAAAUCUGAAUUGAGGUAUAGCUCCCUCAUCUUUGCUUCUCUCUCAAGUCUUUUGAGAGAGAGGGUUAGAAAAAUAAUCUUGAAAGUGAAGAGGAAAAAUCCAGGAGGCGAUGGGUCUCCCAGGAAAAUGUUGAGAAAUCAUAAACGUGUGGUCCCUGAACAGGUCUCAGAACACCCAUAGGGAGUCCGCGCCCUUCCCGGUGAAGUCUCAUUGCCCAGUGAAGUAGAGGGCAGAUUCAAAACAAGGCAUCGAGCAGGGCUGAAGCAGAUGGGAUACAGAGAAACUGCUGCCGACAGCGGUGGGACCAGUAAGGAGGACCCGAGGAAGAGAGACCAGGAGAGGCAAAAAGGCAGAGCUUCACCCCUGCGGAGCCUCAGAGGGCGGUGUCGGAGAAACCCCUGUGAGGUUUGAGGGCGAAUCUCACUGUAAGGGGGUGAGAGGGGCUUGACUUUCAAACUGCAGCUAUGAGAAAUAUUAGUAAACCUUAGCAAAGCAGUGA